rnacentral:rRNA from 1 species
UACGUAGGUGGCAAGCGUUUGUCCGGAUUUACUGGGCGUAAAGAGCGCGCAGGCGGUCGUUCAAGUCGCGUGUGAAAGCCCCCGGCUCAACUGGGGAGGGUCACGCGAUACUGAUCGACUCGAAGGCAGGAGAGGGUAGUGGAAUUCCCGGUGUAGUGGUGAAAUGCGUAGAUAUCGGGAGGAACACCAGUGGCGAAGGCGACUACCUGGCCCAUUCUUGACGCUGAGGCGCGAAAGCUAGGGGAGCGAACGGG